UCCCUGGUGGCUGAGCAGUAAAGAAUCUGCCUGCAAUACAGGAGGCCCAGGUUCGACCCCUGGGUUAGGAA
rnacentral:tRNA from 1 species